AAACGUUCUUGUCCAAGCUUUUGACUCUGUAUCUGUCGCUUUUCCCUGCGGGAACAUCUGAACUGGCUGUCUCAAAAAUUAUUUGCACUAAAAAUAGUGUUCAGGACGCAGCUGAGUUAUGAGUGUGGCGUUGUAAGCUUAAUUUUUUUCUCUGCUGACAGGGAAUGAUGACAGGGUUUCUUUGCACGUAAAUAGACAUGAUAGCAAAGACAGUAUGGUAGGAUUAAGGGGGAAAUUUCAGUAACUAACAGACGGAGAAGGGACGGGAAUCUCUCUCUCAGGCACUCGCCAUGGCCGUGAGACGAUGCCAGGCAGGAAUGAAGAGGAACUCAGUGCAGGCCGACUAAGGCCGCGUCUGUGGACAGGCUCCAGGCCGUGCCCAGGGAGGCAGAGUCACGCCUCCCGGUCAGCCAGGUGGAGGCAGCCCCGCAGCAGGGAGCCAGAGCGGCGGUGACAAGGCUGUGGACCGUGCCUGGGCAUUCCAGGUGGCAGCCUGGGAAACUUCUUUGCAGGUUCUUCUCAAGAGCACAGAGGCUGGUUGGCCAGCAAAGGCUGACCCUUUGAAGCCGCAGGAGAACCUGCAGACGUGCAAGGUGCCAGGUUUGGUGUCUCCGCAACUUGCCCUCUGCAGACUGUGAUGCAACGGUCCAAAUGGUCUUUAGGCUGAAUCCUUUUCUUAUCACAAAUCAACGUCAUAACUGUUUUAAGAACAGAUGGCAUUAUUCGCGGUUCCCAUCAUGGCGCAACAGAAACGAAUCCGACUAGGAACCAUGAGGUUUCGGGUUCGAUCCCUGGCCUCGCUCAGUGGGUUAAGGAUCCAGCAUUGCCAUGAGCUGUGGUGUAGGUCAGAGAUGCGACUUGGAUCCUAGGUUGUUGCGGCUGUGGUGUAGACCGGCAGCUCUAGCUCCAAUUAGCCCCCUAGCCUGGGAACCUCCAUAUGCCACAGGGCAAGAAGCGGACCGAGCUGCCUGCAGGGAACAGGUCUGCUCCGAGCCCCGCCUGUGCUCUGCCCCUGGACCUACCUGAUCUGGAGGCUCAGCUCUGAGACCCCGGAGAGUGGUCUGCUUGGCUGCCCAGCGCUAAAGAUGCCAGCCUGCCUCCUUGUUCACUGACCCCCUCAGUCCCAGCUUCCUCAGCACCGCGGCGAGGAAGAGGGGUGCUUUGGGGGACAGGGCGCAGAGAUUCUAAUAGAAGGCACAGCGAAAAGGGAGUGGAAAGUCCCUAUUUUUCCCAAGGUGGCACCAGAAAUUUCAAUCUGGUGAUGUUGGCAUUGAUCCCUGACAGCAUGUCAGUCGGAUCAUUAGGCAGAUGGUUUGCAAAGAUUUAGAAAACAGCAGAGACUCCAGCACGGAAAUCCGUUCCCGGGGCACAUCUCUGGCUUCCGGGUUCUAGACCCGUGGCUCCAGCCACCCAAGAUGUAGCAUCCCCCCCACACCGUCCCCCCGACCCCAGGCAGACCCAUCCCCCAUCUCCCUCUCCCUCCAACCUGCUUUCGGGCCUUCUGCUCAGGAAGGGCUUCACCCUACCCGGGGAGACCCGGACAUCUGCCCCUUCCCCGCUCCCCUUCCCAGGUCCCCCAGCAGGUGCACUUGCCCUCUGGCCUCCCCUCCUCAUCUCUCCCCCAGAGCCUCACCCACCCACC
ensembl:lncRNA